rnacentral:rRNA from 1 species
AUUGAACGCUGGCGGCAUGCCUUACACAUGCGAGUCGAACGGUAACAGGUCUUCGGAUGCUGACGAGUGGCGAACGGGUGAGUAAUACAUCGGAACGUGCCCGAUCGUGGGGGAUAACGCAGCGAAAGCUGUGCUAAUACCGCAUACGAUCUACGGAUGAAAGCGGGGGAUCGCAAGACCUCGCGCGGACGGAGCGGCCGAUGGCAGAUUAGGUAGUUGGUGGGAUAAAAGCUUACCAAGCCGACGAUCUGUAGCUGGUCUGAGAGGACGACCAGCCACACUGGGACUGAGACACGGCCCAGACUCCUACGGGAGGCAGCAGUGGGGAAUUUUGGACAAUGGGCGCAAGCCUGAUCCAGCCAUGCCGCGUGCAGGAUGAAGGCCUUCGGGUUGUAAACUGCCUUUGUACGGAACGAAAAAGCUCUCUCUAAUACAGGGGGUGAAUGACGGUACCGUAAGAAUAAGCACCGGCUAACUACGUG